rnacentral:rRNA from 1 species
UACGUAGGGCGCAGGCGUUGUCCGGAAUUAUUGGGCGUAAAGAGCUCGUAGGCGGCUUGUCACGUCGGGUGUGAAAGCCCGGGGCUUAACCCCGGGUCUGCAUUCGAUACGGGCAGGCUAGAGUGUGGUAGGGGAGAUCGGAAUUCCUGGUGUAGCGGUGAAAUGCGCAGAUAUCAGGAGGAACACCGGUGGCGAAGGCGGAUCUCUGGGCCAUUACUGACGCUGAGGAGCGAAAGCGUGGGGAGCGGACAGG